UACGGAGGGUGCAAGCGUUGUUCGGAUUGAUUGGGCGUAAAGCGCACGUAGGUGGAUUUGCAAGUCGAUUGUGAAAGCCCUGGGCUCAACCUAGGAAUUGCACUCGAAACUGUGGAUCUUGAAUGUCUGAGAGGUUAGUAGAAUUCCAGGUGUAGGAGUGAAAUCCGUAGAUAUCUGGAGGAAUACCAGAGGCGAAGGCGGCUAACUGGCAGAACAUUGACACUGAGGUGCGAUAGCGUGGGGAGCAAACAGG
rnacentral:rRNA from 1 species